rnacentral:lncRNA from 1 species
ACCCAUCAGUAAGUGUUGAUACUCCCCUUUCUUGAUAUUCUUUUCUUUUUCUUCUGUUGCUGAAUUUCUUCAUAAAGUUGAGAAUACCAAGCACAUGCUUCCAUGUUUCAACCAUAGGAACUUUAAUCUCCAAUUUCUUGAAGAUCGCCAACUUGAACUUCUUUCCUUUCCUAUGAUUUUUCUUUUUAUGAGGAAGAGGUUUUUCAUUUGAUCUUUUCUUCUUUCCUCUCUUCCUCUUUUUCUCAACCUUCUCCUUCCUUAACCUUCUCUUUUUCUUUUUCUUUUCUUUCUUUAUUUUCACAUUUUUUUUCUUUUGUUCUUUCAACCACUGCUUUUCCUUUCUCAUCCUUCUUCUCACUCUUAUUCAACUUUUCUGUUUCUAUGUCCUCUAUACAUCUCUAGCUCUUCUUCUUCUGUCUUUUCCUCCUUGACAACAUUAUCAUUUGUAAAGAUAGUGGCUUGACAUUCUUCUUUAGGGUUAACUUCAGUAUUAACCNUAAUAAUGCCCAGAGACUUCAAGACCUUUGUUAUCUCAUCUUCCUUUAUCUUCUCUUGUCAUCCUCAAAGAUAGGAGCUUGACAUUCUUCCUUAGGGUUAACUUCAGUAUUAACCCUAAUAAUACCCAGAGACUUCAACGCAUGAGAAUGUUGUUCCUGCAAUAAACGUUCUUUGUCUUCCCCCAAUGUUUCUUUGCGCACAGGGGAUUGUUUUUGUUGUAAACGUUGUUGGGCUUCCCCCAACGUUUCUUUUGGUACAGAGAAUAAGUUCUGCCGCAAGAAUUGUUGGACUUCCCCCAAUGUUUCUUUUGGUACAGAAAAUAGUUCCUAUCGUAAACGUUCUUUAACUUCCCCUAACGUUUCUUUUCGCGAAGAGGAAUGUUGCCCCAAUUGGCUUUGAUGUAUGUUGAAAUCAUUUUGGUGGAAUUGAGUGCCCAUAUAAUCAAAUUCUUGUUUAAACUGCAUUCUGCAAAAAUUAGGCACAAAACCCUAGAAAACAUUUAUUAGAACAAAAAUAAAAAUAACAUUAAAUCAAGUCAACUUCAAUUAAUCCACACUACUAGAAAAAUAAACCUCGAGUCCCCGGCAACGGCGCCAAAAACUUGUUGACAAAUUGGCAAGUAUACCAAAUCGUACAAGUAAUAUAAUUAGUAAGACCAAGUAUCGUUUUCCCAAGAGACUCGAAUAGCGUUCUCUUUCGCGUGAAUUAAAAUAAUAGGACUUGAAAAUAAAAAUUAAUAAAUUGGAUUUGAGAACAAAAAUAUUAGCAUGCAAAAUAAAGUUGAUUUAAUUGACAAACGAAAAUAAGGGAUGAAUGGAUGUUGUUGGGGGUUCACAAUUUCAUCUAAUUCGCUCUCUCUUACCUACUCCUAUUGAAUAUUAGUUUGAUUAAUUAAUUGUUAUGCGACUUUCUUAGCCUCCCCUUAACCCGAUCCCUCGGCAAAAAGGGCCUAAUAUUAAUUACUGGUUUUCUAUCCCUAGCCUCCCCUAGUAAUUAAUACUACAUUAUAAACAGAAGUUAGCGCAAUUGAUCGUC